rnacentral:rRNA from 1 species
GGGUAUAGACCCGAAACCCGGUGAUCUAGCCAUGGGCAGGUUGAAGGUUGGGUAACACUAACUGGAGGACCGAACCGACUAAUGUUGAAAAAUUAGCGGAUGACUUGUGGCUGGGGGUGAAAGGCCAAUCAAACCGGGAGAUAGCUGGUUCUCCCCGAAAGCUAUUUAGGUAGCGCCUCGUGAAUUCAUCUCCGGGGGUAGAGCACUGUUUCGGCAAGGGGGUCAUCCCGACUUACCAACCCGAUGCAAACUGCGAAUACCGGAGAAUGUUAUCACGGGAGACACACGGCGGGUGCUAACGUCCGUCGUGAAGAGGGAAACAACCCAGACCGCCAGCUAAGGUCCCAAAGUCAUGGUUAAGUGGGAAACGAUGUGGGAAGGCCCAGACAGCCAGGAUGUUGGCUUAGAAGCAGCCAUCAUUUAAAGAAAGCGUAAUAGCUCACUGGUCGAGUCGGCCUGCGCGGAAGAUGUAACGGGGCUAAACCAUG